GUUGACAGUUAGCUUUCUACGACUCCCACAUGGUCGCCCACUGAAGCUAAGCAGGGUUGUGACCGGUCAGUACCUGGAUGGGAGACUAAAUUGGAAAGCUUGGUUGCUGACGGAA
rnacentral:rRNA from 1 species